UUUUGAUUGAUAAACUGAAUAUGUUGAUUUAUAAAAGCUGUGCAUAUGUUAGGCUUUUGAUUGGAAAACUAAAUCUGACCUGCAUUUGAAGGGACAUGUAUGAAUAUGUUGUGUUAUAAAAUUUCAUUAUUUGUUGUUCUUCUAGGUUCUACAAGAGCUUUGCCAACAAUUUUCAGCUGGCAUGCAGGUAUAAAGUUUCGUCUCUCUCUGGUGUGUUUGCUGUCCUGUAUUUUGUUAUUCAUCAAUCUUUUUGUUUUAUAUCAGACAGUUGCUGUUAUACCUGUUCUUCCUCAUGGCGUUGUUCAGCUAGGUUCAUUCUUUGCCGUAAGUUUUUCCUUUCCUUAACUUUUGGAGGCUAAAAUAAUCUUAAAUACUUGCAAAUACAUUGUGUUCACGAUGAAAAUCAUGAUGGUCAAGGUAUCUUUUGUUGGAAGUCGUCAACUUUCUGUGUUUCAAUCUAUUUCCCAAAUUUAGCUAUUAAAUUUUUGUAGUGAAUUCAGGAAAGAUAUUCUUUCACUUGAUUAAUGCUGUUGGAGUUCAAUGUAGUGCACUAGUGCGAAACUCUUAGGCUGCAAUUCUUAUUUCAGUAUUUGUGGAUCAAUGUCUUCAAUCUGUGAUGAGGAAAAGAAACGAGGUAUCCGCGUAAUGAUGUCAAUUCAGUAGACGUCCUACACCAAGCUCAACUGGCUGUUACGGGUCAUAGGAAGUCUGUGUUAUGAAUCAAGUCAUAUUUCCUUCUUGCGAGAGCAAUAACAUAUAGAAUGUAAUCAGAUUACAAGCGAAGCUAAUACACAGAUUUUUUAAUGAAAAUCGUUGGUCCACCCUCAAUGUGAGAGCUAUUCCCAUUUGCCUCUAUUGCUUUUACUGUAAUGGAGAAGAAUACAGGGUCUCACGCCUUUCACACUGAAAACUGCCCCCCCCCCCAACAAAGACAAAAUAAUAAUAAUAAAAUAAAAUAAAUAAAUACUAAUAUAUAUAGAAGUACAAUUGCAAUCUGAUAUGCCCAAUACAUCUCAGUAAUGAAAAUGUUCAGAGUUGAAAGGAUAAGUGUACAAUAUUAUUAGGCUUCACAGAGUGCAGUCUGAUACUCGGAAAAGUUUUUUGGUUUUCCAGUAGUUAUUCUAACAUUUUUUUUAUUUAUAAUUCUUGCAAUCUUGGUGCUGUAGCUGGUUCUCAAUGAGUUAAUGUAGAUUUUGUUGCUAUUCAGAUAGCGGAGAAUAUGAGAUUUGUAAAUGAUGUGAAGACUUUAGUUCUUCAGCUUAGACAUGAACCUGGUCUCUUGCUACCUGAUAAUUAUGCAGCAAAAGAACUUUCUCCAAAAAUAGGGGUACCUGUGUUUCUUGGGAAUUCUACUUCUGGAGACCUAUCUGGCGUAUCGAAUAUGACCAACUCUAUUCCAUUCAUUGCUGAGAGUUACAACUAUGUGGAAAACUCUGAUCAGACUACCGAGUUUGUUGGUGACACAUCUCAUUCUUUAGCAAGACAUAUCCAGGAUAAUUUGCAGUUUAAUGGUGCUACAUUUCAUACCUCUAGCUCGAGCCAAAGCCACGUUCAGCUUGAUGAUGAUCUCAAGGAAGCGAAGUUUGCUACGAGAAUGAAGACAAACUCUACUUUGGAAAAUGAAGUAGUGACAAAAGCUGAAGUUAUAUUGAAUCUGGAGAUGCUGAUGAACCAACAGGCAUAUCUGCACAUCCCAGGAUCUGCUUUGCAUCAACUAUCCUCCAGCAGUUCAUCUACUAUCGACAGUGGCAGCUCAAGGUGGGUGGAAAAGGGAAUGUCAAAUGCUGGUACUCAGUGCCAUUUUGGCAGCGCCAAUAUGUCAUCUGGCCUGUUGACGUCUGUGCCGAGAAUAAAUUCAGACCUGAUAUCUAGUUCUCAUGAAAAUCCUGUUGACCAUUUAACGUCCAAUCACUUGCUUGUAUAUGACUCAGGUAGCAGACAUUAUUGUACAGAUGACAGAAACGGGAAACGCGAGUUGAAUGUGUGCAAUGAAAGAAUGGAAAACAAUAUAAUUCAAGCUCGUGGUAUCCCCCUGUCCAAACAUGAUGAGCAUAAGAAUUCAGUUGAGUUUCUACCUGAUUUCGUUCUAGCUGACAGAAAGUAUGAACUUGAAGGUUGGAGUCAAUCUUUUAGAAAUACUGAAUAUCGAGAUGCAUGUAUAGGACCUCAACCAGGAGAUGAUUUGUUUGAUAUUUUGGGAAUUGAAUUUAAGAACAAACUAUUCAACAGUCACUGGAAUAAUAGUUUGAAAAAUGCAUCAUACUCGAACAUGGUUAAUCUGGAUAAAAAAAAUUCUCCAUCUGUAAAAGCUCAGGACACUGCUUCCGAAAUAUAUUCUCUUAACUGUGGAAACUCCAAUGGCAGUGAACAUCUGUUAGACGCUGUGGUCUCUGAGGUUCAUUCUUCUGCUAAGCAGCGCUCAGAUGAUAAUGUUUCUUGCAGGACAACAAUGACAAAUAACAGUAGCCACUGCAGACCUAAUGUUGAACUCCCCUACAGCCAGGCUCAGGUUCUUGAUCAAAUUAAGGAAGAGUUAUUUGGUGUUCCAGAAUAUCUGGCAGAAGCAGAAGCAAUGAGUUGUUCAUUUUUAUCUGGAUCUUCUAAGGAUUAUUCGAGCACCUAUUCCCUGAAUAGUUCCAUUUAUGGAUCACAAAUAAGUUCAUCAGUUGUAAAGGGUCAGGACAUCAAACAGAGUAGCUGUGCAUCUACAGGAUACUCUAAGAAGCCUGAUGAAAUGUGCAAAACAAAUCGCAAGAGGCUUAAACCAGGAGAAAAUCAUAGGCCAAGGCCGAAGGAUCGCCAGAUGAUCCAAGAUCGUGUAAAGGAAUUAAGGGAAAUUGUGCCAAAUGGGGCAAAGGUGACAUUUCUUGUCUUUGGCUCAAACUAUUUCCUUGUCUCUAUAGGCAGAUAAUUCUUAUAUCCUGUAGUAAUUCUAUUGAUUUGGUCAACAGUGUAGCAUUGAUGCUCUUCUCGAACGGACUAUCAAGCAUAUGCUUUUUUUGCAAAAUGUCACAAGGCAUGCAGACAAGCUGAAACAAACAGGAGAGCCAAAGGUGCGAGAUACCGACUUGUUUUUCUCGAGUGUUGGAUACUACUUUUUGACCUAUGUUAUGCAUUGAGCGAAUUGGACUUGAGAGAUGCUGUUUUUGUUCAGAGAUAUAAAGCAUGUCUGGCCUUACUGAAAAGAGAUAAUUUUUUUGCCAAACAUGUUGAGCUUUUUCGGAAGUUACUUUUUUGGGGAAUUUUUAGUUCUAAAACUUAAUUUUAUAAAAUUCUUAUUUUCUACAGAAGUACUUUCAUUUUUUUAGGCUUAGCCAAACAUUUUUAUUAUAAUCUACAUUAGCAGACAGUUUAUGUGAAUUUUAUGAAAAACAUAUUAAUAUGGAAAUUUAGAAUGCAAAAGUUGGCAAGAAGAGUAAUACAAUGUCCAAUGGACAUCUCAAUAGGCUUUACAUAGGAAAGUUGAGAAAUAAAUAUGAGAUUGUUCAUCUUCUUAAGCUUCAGAUUGUUAGCAAGGAUGGCGGUUUGCUCUCGAAAGAUAACUUUGAAGGAGGAGCAACUUGGGCAUAUGAAGUUGGUUCGCAGGCUAUGGUAUGCCCUAUCAUAGUUGAAGAUCUAAAUCAACCCCGUCAAAUGCUUGUGGAGGUAAUCACUGUCUUCUGUUACAUCUCAAGUCCACGUGAUAACUGUUACUGGCCAUUGUACACAGUGGCAGAUGUUUGUUGUUCUUUUCCUCACUGUUUUCCUUUGUGGCAGAUGCUUUGUGAAGAGAGAGGUUUGUUUUUAGAAAUUGCUGACGUAAUUCGAGGGUUGGGGUUAACCAUUUUGAAGGGGGUUAUGGAAACUCGGAAAGACAAUAUAUGGGCACACUUUGCUGUGGAGGUAAUAGUUAUGAAUUCGUUGGGCUUGAUCUCCUUUACGAUUUCUCCAAAGAUAGAUGUUGACUUCCAUGAAAGUCUUAUGAUUACCCCAAAACAUGAUUUUAUCCGACUUGUACUAUCUAAUGUUGAAGUUUUCAUUGACAAGUCGAAAUAUUCUCUUUUUCUGGCUUUUCUUUUUCUUUAUGGUGGUGGUUUUGGUUGGAAGGGUUCAAGGACGAGAGGCUUAGCAUUUGCUAUUAUACUUCUUUUAUCUAAUCUCAGGAAGUUAAAAACACUAGCAGUCAAUGUUAGCAAAGUUUCAUGUUGAUCAUUAAACAUUUUGUUUCAAGUUACUUGCUGAACUUAAAAAAGAAAAAGUCAGUUACAAUCUGGUGAUAAGGAUGUGACAAGGAUGGAGAUUUUUUACUUUCAAGCUUAAAUUUUAUACCUUUUUCCAGCAGGCUAACAGGGAUGUGACGAGGAUGGAGAUUUUCGUCUCACUGGUUCACCUCUUAGAGAAAAAUGCAAAAAAUGUCAUUCAACCAGCCAAAGGCAUUAGUAAGGAAAUACCAUGAUGGUUCAGCAAUUUCAUCAAGCUACCUCUGCUCCUGCAUUUCAUCAAACUGGAGCAACCAGUUUGACACCGAAAUUUAGGGCCGUGAUAUGUUAUGAGCGAGAUUCUACUCGCCAUGACUGACAUAUGUUCCCGAUCAGUCUUGUGAUCAGUUAACGGCAACUGUUGAUACUUCUUCCUUCACAAGUUGAAUGGAGGUUGGAUGAUACCUAGGACUGAGUUACAUUUAGAAUCUGAUGGAUUAGCAAAUGUAACAAGUAAUCAAAUGCCAUAGAAUUAUCAUCUUAGAGCAUGGCAAUUGAUUGGAGAAAGUAGUGUUCCAUUUUUUUCCCUGGUAUCCUGCUACUUCUAGCAGUGUUUCAUUUCAGCAAAUCUCCCAAAGUAAAUAAUUUUCACUUGAAAAAAUCUCUCCCAA
rnacentral:lncRNA from 1 species